AGGUUAUGUAGAAGACUUGUAUAUAUGACUAAAUAAACAUAUUAUACUACAGAUUAACUUCAACAAGCAUCUCGUUUAUUUUAAAAAUUCCGAGUACUCUGUCACACAGAGACAACUUCCAUUGUCUUUUAGAUCGUUUUCUUUCUCUUAAUUAUAUAUUCAAACCACAAUAAGCUCAAAUCUGUAUUGAAUUGAUGGACGAGAAAAUGAAUGUCAGCUUAGGCAUUAUUAAACCUGUAUUCAUGUAUCUUAACCCAUUAAGCCUCCAAUUUCUUACGGCAACUUACGAUCCGAGAAGUAAAAAUCGCUCUAUUUCACCGAACAAUAAUCUUGUUCCCAAUCUCCAUGAUACACACCAUGCCUUAUUUUUUCAUUAUAACACCGUGCUGAUUUAAACGAAUCUCGGUACAAAUAACCGAUGCACACUGAAGUUUUGACUACUACACAGGCAAGACAAGCACCCUUGAGAAGUAUCGGGGUCAAUUAUUAGACUACGGUAGAAUUAUGUUUUACUAUAUCAAUAGGAUAAAAGAAGGUAUCAAAAACAACAUUUUAUCAUGGUCCAAAACUUUCUUCCCCAGUUAUCCCUACAUCUUAUAGUAAAGUCUCCUUUCAGCCGUACAUUUUCUCCCUGGAGAGUCGUUUUGUAACUCAUAUUACGACAUUAUAGUGCGACCGCUUAUCAGCACUACUUUGAUCUACACUAUAUAAGAGAGGACAAGCGACAUUAGGGAUUUGA
rnacentral:misc_RNA from 1 species